UUUCCGUAGGUGAACCUGCGGGAGGAUCAUUCAUAAUAAAGUGUUUUAUGGCACUUUUUAAAAAUCCAUAUCCACCUUGUGUGCAAUGUUAGAUCUCGUCAAUCUUGGCGAGAUUUUUAUACAUCAACUCAUUCUUUAACUAAUUUGUCUGAAAAAUAUUAUGAAUACUUAAUUCAAAAUACGACUUUCAACAACGGAUCUCUUGGCUCUC
rnacentral:misc_RNA from 1 species